rnacentral:rRNA from 1 species
UACGUAGUGACGAGCGUGUCGGCGAUUUACUGGGCGUAAAGAGCGCGCAGGCGGUCGUUCAAGUCGAGUGUGAAAGCCCCCCGGCUCAACUGGGGAGGGUCACUCGAUACUGAUCGACUUGAAGGCAGGAGAGGGAAGCGGAAUUCCCGGUGUAGUGGUGAAAUGCGUAGAUAUCGGGAGGAACACCAGUGGCGAAGGCGGCUUCCUGGCCUGUUCUUGACGCUGAGGCGCGAAAGCUAGGGGAGCAAACGGG